AAUCAACGCUGGCGGCGUGCCUAACACAUGCAAGUCGCACGAGAAAGGGACUUCGGUCCUGAGUACAGUGGCGCACGGGUGAGUAACACGUGAAUCAUCUACCUUCGAGUGGGGAAUAACUGAGAGAAAUCUUAGCUAAUACCGCAUAAUACCUACGGGUCAAAGCAGCAAUGCGCUUGAAGAGGAGUUCGCGGCAGAUUAGUUAGUUGGCAGGGUAAUGGCCUACCAAGACGAUGAUCUGUAUCCGGCCUGAGAGGGCGCACGGACACACUGGAACUGAAACACGGUCCAGACUCCUACGGGAGGCAGCAGUGGGGAAUUUUGCGCAAUGGGGGAAACCCUGACGCAGCAACGCCGCGUGGAGGAUGAAAUCCCUUGGGAUGUAAACUCCUUUCGAUCGGGAAGAUAAUGACGGUACCGAGAGAAGAAGCCCAGGCUAACUUCGUGCCAGCCGCCGCCGUAAU
rnacentral:rRNA from 1 species